rnacentral:lncRNA from 1 species
CUCUCUAAAGCAUAGAACACGCAACUAGUGCGAAGCUUGUAACGUUUUCGAUUCAUAGUGAUAUAGAGUUUGUCUCCGGUUUGGAGAGGACUCGCCCAACAUAUUGUUGUGUCGAUUUACUUGUUACAAGAAACAGCCAAGGUCGAUUCUCUACAAGUGGUAUCAGAGCUAAGGCUAACCUAGAUCCAAGUACAGAGAUUCGAAGGCAAGAUUCAAUAAAACAAGCAAGCAGAAUACUUAUCUGGUGUGGUAAGAAGGUCUCAGCUCGUGGUUAUUGAAGCUUGAAGGUCACGGCGCGUUACAUCAACCUGCAAACAAAGAAACAAAUAGUUUUCGGGUUAAUAGAGAGAUGGAAGCAACAUCAAAGAAAUUUGAAGUGGAGAAGUUCGAUGGGAAGGGUGACUUUGGUCUAUGGAAAUACAAGAUGCUAUGUCAGUUAGAGAUUUUUGGUUUGGGGUCUGUUCUUAAGGAGAGAGAUCCUUCUACGGUGGUUGAAGGUGAAGAACAGAAGGAUACUAAACUUGAUCCUAAGGAGCAAGACAAGGAAUUGCGUACCAAGAACCUGAUCAGUGUCUGUCUAUCUGAUCUCAUACUACGCAAAGUCAUGCACGAGACAACAGCAUUAGCUAUGUGGAAGGCUCUAGAAGCCGAGUAUCAAACCAAGACGUUACCUAAUCGAAUCUACAUGAAGCAAAGAUAUGCAGGUUUCAGAAUGGAUGAACAUAAGUCUAUUGAGGAAAAUUUAGAUGUGUUCCUGAAACUUGUGGCUGAUCUAGCUAGUCUGGAUAUCAAGAUUAGCGAAGAAGACCAAGCUAUUCAGAUUCUAACAAGCUUGCCUAAGCAGUAUGAGUCUCUCGUGGAUGCUCUCAAGUAUGGAAGCGGGAAGGAGACUUUAACAGUCCGAGAUGUUACAAGCUCUGCCUAUUCUAAGGAAGUAGAAUUAAGGGAGAAGGGACUUCUUAACAAGUCUAAAAAUAACUCGGAGGGGCUGUUUGCUGGCGACAACAGAGGCAGAGGUGAGAAGAAGAACGAUAAGACUUGGAGAGCUAGAUCUAAAAGCAAUAACAGAUCAAAAUCAAGACCUAAGUUCUCUAAAGAAUGUUGGACGUGUGGCAAGGAAGGACAUUUUAAAAAGCAGUGUCCAGAAAGAAAGAAGCCAUCAAAUUCAGUCAACAUAGCAGAAGAGAAGGAGGAACCAUUAGUAUUAGUGGCUAGCCAGCAAGCUACUAAAGACGAGUGGGUACUUGAUUCUGGCUGUACAUUCCAUAUCACCCCAAAUAAAGAUGUCUUAUUUGAUCUUGAAGACAUAGAAGGAGGAAAGGUUUUGAUGGGAAAUAACACUAUCAGCGAGAUUAAAGGGAUCGGGAAGAUCAGGAUCAUGAAUAAUGAUGGAUCGAGCGUGAUUCUCACUGAUGUUCGUUACAUGCCUACAAUGGGCAGAAACCUUAUCUCCUACGGUUUAUUGGAGAAGAUGGGAUGCAGAUACGAAGGCAAAGACUUCAUGGUACAGUUUUACAAAGGAGAUCAGAAGGUUAUUUCUGGAAAAUACUGUGAUGGUCUGUACUACUUACAAGGGACAGUAUUGGAUGGUGAAGCUGCAGUCGCAAGGCCUGAUAUCGAUUUGACUAAAAGGUGGCACUCUAGGCUUGGACAUAUGAGUCUAAAGGGCAUGAAUAUUCUAGUCAAGGAAGGAUAUUUAAACGCAAAGGAUGUGAAGACGUUAGAGUUUUGCGAGAAUUGCGUUCUGGGUAAAGCACACAAGCUAAGCUUUCCAAAAGGCAAGCACACGUCUAAGGAAGUCCUAGAGUACAUCCAUUCAGAUUUAUGGGGUUCACCUUCGGUGGUAGAGAGUCUCGGAGGAUGUUUCUAUUUUGUUACAUUCAUUGAUGAUUUUUCUAGGAAAGUUUGGAUCUAUUUCCUAAGAUCAAAGAAUGAAGUGUUUCAAAACUUCAAGGAAUGGAAAACAUGCGUAGAAACUGAGACAGGAAAGAAGGUGAAGUGUCUAAGGACGGAUAACGGAUUAGAGUUCUGCAAUACACAGAUGGACACAUUGUGUAAGGAAGCAGGGAUUAAAAGACACAGAACAUGCGUCUAUACUCCACAGCAAAACGGAGUAUCAGAACGCAUGAACCGUACUAUUAUGGAGAAGGUAAGAUGUAUGUUGACAGAGGCAGGCUUAGAGCAAAAGUUCUGGGCGGAAGCGGCUUCUACAGCUGUCUACUUAAUCAACCGAUCUCCUAGUACAGCUAUUAACUUCAAACUACCGGCAGAGGUUUGGUCUGGAACCAAAACAGACUUAAAUCAUCUAAGGAAGUUCGGGUGUACAGCUUAUGUUCACGUGACUCAGGCCAAAACCAGUCCAAGAGCGAUGAAAGGAGUUUUCAUGGGAUAUCCAGAGGGGACUAAAGGUUAUCGAGUGUGGUUACCAGAAGAGCUAAGAUGUACAGUGAGCAGAAAUGUGAUUUUCAAUGAGGAAGAGAUGUUUAAAGACAUUAAGGGAGUCAGCGAGAAGAAAAGGAAAACAAAAAAGGUAAUGUUCAAUCCUGUGCUGAUUCAAGGACCUUCAAACACAACUACAGACACUGAGACAGAGGAUACAGUUCAAGGUGGAGCUUCUCCACCAUCAGAAAACUCGGAACCUGAAUCUUCAAGCUCAGAAAGAGAAGAAGAAGUUGUGGGAGCUCAACAGGAAAAUCUAGACAACUACAUUCUUGCUAGAGAUAGAAUCAGGAGAGAAGUAAAGAAACCUUCUAGGUUUGAUGAUUCAGAUUGCGUGGCUUAUGCUCUAGCUACAGCAGAAGAAAUAAAUAAGGAUGAGCCUAAAUCCUAUUUGGAAGCAAGAAGGAGUAAGAGCUGGAAGUUAUGGAACGAGGGAAUGCAAGAAGAGAUGGAUUCAUUGGAGAAAAAUAAGACUUGGAAGCUGGUUGAGAAACCAGAGAAAAAGAAGAUUAUUGGCAACAAGUGGGUUUUUAAGCUGAAAGAAUGCAUUCCUGGAAUUGAGAAGCCGAGAUACAAAGCUAGAUUAGUAGCUAAAGGGUUUUCACAAGUUGAAGGGAUCGACUACACAGAGGUGUUUGCACCAGUGGUGAAACACGUGUCGAUUAGAAUUAUGUUGUCACUUGUUGCAAAUUAUGAUCUAGAUUUGGAACAACUAGACGUGAAAACGGCUUUCCUGUACGGAACGUUAGACGAGGAGAUUUAUAUGGCACAGCCAGAAGGUUUCGUUGAGGAGGGAAAAGAAGAUCAAGUUUGUCUCCUGUUGAAAUCCCUUUACGGAUUAAAACAGUCACCAAGACAGUGGAAUAGGAGAUUUGAUAGUUUCAUGAAGCAACAAGGCUUCGAAAGAAGUGCAUAUGAUCCUUGUGUCUACAUGAAAGGUUCAGAUUUAUCUCAUAUGGUUUAUCUCUUGAUCUAUGUUGAUGACAUGCUCAUAGCAUCUAAGGAUUCUAAAGAAAUUAAAAGAAUCAAAGAUAGCUUGAAGAGAGAGUUUGAGAUGAAGGACCUUGGAGCAGCUUCAAGAAUACUUGGAAUGGAUAUUAUUAGAGACAGGAAGAAAGGAACUCUAAAACUAUCGCAAGGGAAGUAUCUACAGAAGGUGCUGGAAACUUUUAACAUGGCAGAGAGCAAAGCUGUGGUUACUCCUAUCGGACCACAAUUUAAGCUUAAAAGUUUGACACAAAAGGAAGAGCACGAGGAAGCAAGGUUCAUGAACGUGAUUCCAUACGCAUCAGCCGUUGGAAGUUUAAUGUAUGCAAUGGUGGGAUCUAGACCAGACUUAUGUUUCGCAGUGGGCUUAAUCAGCCGUUAUAUGAGCAAGCCAGGAAGAAUACACUGGGAAGCUGUUAAGUGGGUGAUGAGAUAUCUUAAAGGAGCUCUAGAUUCAGAUCUAUUGUUUACUAAAGGAGAAGAUUUCAAAGUACAAGGAUUCUGUGACGCAGACUACGCAACCGAUUUGGACAGAAGAAGAUCCGUGACAGGAUAUGUGUUUCAAGUCGGAGGCAACACAAUAAGCUGGAGAUCAGGUCUCCAACAUAUUGUCGCACUAUCAACGACAGAAUCAGAAUACAUGGCAUUAGCCGAAGCUUUUAAAGAAGCAUUAUGGCUUAAGGGGUUUGUUAGUGAAUUGGGAUUCAAGCAAGAUGAUGUGAGAGUGUUUUCAGAUUCACAGAGUGCUAUACACUUAGCUAAGAAUGGAGGAUUCCAUGAAAGGACUAAGCAUAUAGAUACUAGACUACACUUUAUGAGAGACGUAAUUGAGGCUGGCGACGUUACGGUUCACAAGAUUCACACAUCUAUCAACCCUGCAGAUUUUCUAACUAAGUGUGUACCUGGACAGAAGUUCGAGACAUGCUUGGAGAUCCUCAAGGUUCUGCCUUAGAAGGUCUCGUGUGGCUGCAGGUGACAAUGCUGUCGAGUUGAUCACCUCGC